GUAAGCUACUAAGAGCGAAUGGUGGAUGCCUUGACUGGUAAAGGCGAUGAAGGACGUACUAGACUGCGAUAAGCUACGGGGAGCUGUCAAGAAGCUUUGAUCCGUAGAUUUCCGAAUGGGGCAACCCAAUGUAUAGAGAUAUACAUUACCUAUAUAGGAGCGAACGAGGGGAAUUGAAACAUCUUAGUACCCUCAGGAAAAGAAAUCAAUAGAGAUUGCGUCAGUAGCGGCGAGCGAAAGCGCAAGAGGGCAAACCCAGUGCUUGCACUGGGGGUUGUAGGACUGCAAUGUGCAAGAGGUGAGUUUAGCAGAACAUUCUGGAAAGUAUAGCCAUAGAGGGUGAUAGUCCCGUAUGCGAAAAACAAACCUUAGCUAGCAGUAUCCUGAGUAGGGCGGGACACGAGAAAUCCUGUCUGAAGCUGGGUCGACCACGAUCCAACCCUAAAUACUAAUACCAGAUCGAUAGUGCACAAGUACCGUGAGGGAAAGGUGAAAAGAACUGAGGUGAUCAGAGUGAAAUAGAACCUGAAACCAUUUGCUUACAAUCAUUCAGAGCACUAUGUAGCAAUACAGUGUGAUGGACUGCCUUUUGCAUAAUGAGCCUGCGAGUUGUGGUGUCUGGCAAGGUUAAGCAAACGCGAAGCCGUAGCGAAAGCGAGUCUGAAUAGGGCGCUUAGUCAGAUGCUGCAGACCCGAAACGAAGUGAUCUAUCCAUGAGCAAGUUGAAGCUAGUGUAAGAACUAGUGGAGGACUGAACCCAUAGGCGUUGAAAAGCCCCGGGAUGACUUGUGGAUAGGGGUGAAAGGCCAAUCAAACUUCGUGAUAGCUGGUUCUCUCCGAAAUAUAUUUAGGUAUAGCGUUGUGUCGUAAUAUAAGGGGGUAGAGCACUGAAUGGGCUAGGGCAUACACCAAUGUACCAAACCCUAUCAAACUCCGAAUACCUUAUAUGUAAUCACAGCAGUCAGGCGGCGAGUGAUAAAAUCCGUCGUCAAGAGGGAAACAACCCAGACUACCAGCUAAGGUCCCUAAAUCUUACUUAAGUGGAAAACGAUGUGAAGUUACUUAAACAACCAGGAGGUUGGCUUAGAAGCAGCCAUCCUUUAAAGAAAGCGUAAUAGCUCACUGGUCUAGUGAUUUUGCGCGGAAAAUAUAACGGGGCUAAAGUAAGUACCGAAGCUGUAGACUUGACUUUGUCAAGUGGUAGGAGAGCGUUCUAUUUGCGUCGAAGGUAUACCGGUAAGGAGUGCUGGAGCGAAUAGAAGUGAGCAUGCAGGCAUGAGUAGCGAUAAUUAAUGUGAGAAUCAUUAACGCCGUAAACCCAAGGUUUCCUACGCGAUGCUCGUCAUCGUAGGGUUAGUCGGGUCCUAAGUCGAGUCCGAAAGGGGUAGACGAUGGCAAAUUGGUUAAUAUUCCAAUACCAACAUUAGUGUGCGAUGGAAGGACGCUUAGGGCUAAGGGGGCUAGCGGAUGGAAGUGCUAGUCUAAGGUCGUAGGUGCUUAUACAGGCAAAUCCGUAUAAGAAUACACCGAGAACUGAAAGGCUUUUUGAAGUCUUCGGAUGGAUAGAAGAACCCCUGAUGCCGUCGAGCCAAGAAAAGUUUCUAAGUUUAGCUAAUGUUGCCCGUACCGUAAACCGACACAGGUGGGUGGGAUGAGUAUUCUAAGGCGCGUGGAAGAACUCUCUUUAAGGAACUCUGCAAAAUAGCACCGUAUCUUCGGUAUAAGGUGUGGUUCGCUUCGUAUUAGGAUUUACUCCGAAAGCGAAGAAACUUACAACAAAGAGUCCCUCCCGACUGUUUACCAAAAACACAGCACUCUGCUAACUCGUAAGAGGAUGUAUAGGGUGUGACGCCUGCCCGGUGCUCGAAGGUUAAUUGAUGGGGUUAGCAUUAGCGAAGCUCUUGAUCGAAGCCCGAGUAAACGGCGGCCGUAACUAUAACGGUCCUAAGGUAGCGAAAUUCCUUGUCGGUUAAAUACCGACCUGCAUGAAUGGCGUAACGAGAUGGGAGCUGUCUCAAAGAGGGAUCCAGUGAAAUUGUAGUGGAGGUGAAAAUUCCUCCUACCCGCGGCAAGACGGAAAGACCCCGUGGACCUUUACUACAGCUUGACACUGCUAUUUGGAUAAGAAUGUGCAGGAUAGGUGGGAGGCUUUGAGUAUAUGACGCCAGUUGUAUAUGAGCCAUUGUUGAGAUACCACUCUUUCUUAUUUGGGUAGCUAACCAGCUUGAGUUAUCCUCAAGUGGGACAAUGUCUGGUGGGUAGUUUGACUGGGGCGGUCGCCUCCCAAAUAAUAACGGAGGCUUACAAAGGUUGGCUCAGAACGGUUGGAAAUCGUUCGUAGAGUAUAAAGGUAUAAGCCAGCUUAACUGCAAGACAUACAAGUCAAGCAGAGACGAAAGUCGGUCUUAGUGAUCCGGUGGUUCUGUGUGGAAGGGCCAUCGCUCAAAGGAUAAAAGGUACCCCGGGGAUAACAGGCUGAUCUCCCCCAAGAGCUCACAUCGACGGGGAGGUUUGGCACCUCGAUGUCGGCUCAUCGCAUCCUGGGGCUGGAGCAGGUCCCAAGGGUAUGGCUGUUCGCCAUUUAAAGCGGUACGCGAGCUGGGUUCAGAACGUCGUGAGACAGUUCGGUCCCUAUCUGCCGUGGGCGUAAGAAGAUUGAAGAGAUUUGACCCUAGUACGAGAGGACCGGGUUGAACAAACCACUGGUGUAGCUGUUGUUCUGCCAAGAGCAUCGCAGCGUAGCUAAGUUUGGAAAGGAUAAACGCUGAAAGCAUCUAAGCGUGAAGCCAACUCUAAGAUGAAUCUUCUCUAAGCUCUCUAGAAGACUACUAGUUUGAUAGGCUGGGUGUGUAAUGGAUGAAAGUCCUUUAGCUGACCAGUACUAAUAGAGCGUUUGGCUUAUCUUU
rnacentral:rRNA from 1 species